GCCCUCGUUGUCUAAUGGUUAUGACGUCAGACUUCUAAUCUGGAGGCUGUGAGUUCGAGUCUCACCGGGGGCU
rnacentral:tRNA from 1 species